CAGCCGUAAACUAUGCUCGCUAGGUGUCAGGCAUGGCGCGACCGUGUCUGGUGCCGCAGGGAAGCCGUGAAGCGAGCCACCUGGGAAGUACGGCCGCAAGGCUGAAACUUAAAGGAAUUGGCGGGGGAGCACCACAACAGGUGGAGCCUGCGGUUUAAUUGGACUCAACGCCGGGAAGCCCACCGGAUAAGACAGCGGAAUGAUUGCCGGGCUGAAGACUCUGCAUGACUAGCUGAGAGGAGGUGCAUGGCGUAGACGUCU
rnacentral:rRNA from 1 species